rnacentral:rRNA from 1 species
GACAGAGGUUGCAAACGUUGUUCGGAAUUACUGGGCAUAAAGCGCACGUAGGCGGUUCGUUAAGUCAUGUGUGAAAUCCCUCGGCUCAACCGAGGAAUUGCGCCUGAUACGGGCAGACUAGAGUACUGCAGGGGAGACUGGAAUUCCUGGUGUAGCGGUGGAAUGCGCAGAUAUCAGGAGGAACACCGGUGGCGAAGGCGGGUCUCUGGGCAGUAACUGACGCUGAGGAGCGAAAGCGUGGGGAGCGAACAGG